rnacentral:rRNA from 1 species
GAUGAACGCUGGCGGUAUGCUUAACACAUGCAAGUCGAACGGACUCUUCGGAGUUAGUGGCGGACGGGUGAGUAACGCGUGAGAAUCUGGCUUUGGGUUCGGGACAACCACUGGAAACGGUGGCUAAUACCGGAUGUGCCGAGAGGUAAAAGAGAAAUUGCCUGAAGAUGAGGUCGCGUCUGAUUAGCUAGUUGGUGAGGUAAAGGCUCACCAAGGCAGCGAUCAGUAGCUGGUCUGAGAGGAUGACCAGCCACACUGGGACUGAGACACGGCCCAGACUCCUACGGGAGGCAGCAGUGGGGAAUUUUCCGCAAUGGGCGAAAGCCUGACGGAGCAAUACCGCGUGAGGGAAGAAGGCUCUUGGGUUGUAAACCUCUUUUCUUAGGGAAGAACAAAAUGACGGUACCUAAGGAAUCAGCAUCGGCUAACUCCGUG